CAUACCCAGCCUGGUUCUCUACGAGGAUAGUUCCAGAGGAACCUGGGAAGGUCUUAUCAGAAGUCUUUACAGAAGUUAGAACAGUUCACUCACCACCUCCAUUCUUGUAGCAGAGGGUUUCAGCGGGGCCACUGAUGACAGCUUGUGGUCUGGCAGGACUUGGAUGUUCAUCUUUUCUCCGGUGUCGGUGUGCAGCUCGCCGACGGCCUUGUGCUCUCACCUCACGGAGGAAGUAUCCGUGGCGGAGGUGAUGCUCGCGCUGCGAUGGACCGUGAUGACGAUGGGAGUCCCGCUAGCGUGGAAAGGCAAACUCUGCAUAAGUGACUAUUUUCUCCACGAACUACAGUGGACUCCACCGCAUUCAUCGGCUAGAGAGGACAAUGACCCAAGACAGCUCCAGACUGUGUAAGAGCUAUUUGACCAAGAAGGAGAGUGAUGGACUACUGCAUCAGAUGACCUGGCCUACACAGUCCCCCGACCUCAACCAUAUUGAGAUGGUUUGGGAUGAGUCAGACCACAGAGUGAAGGAAAAGGAGCCAAAAAGUGCUCAGCAUAUGUGGGAACUCCUUCAAGACUGUUGGAAAAGCAUUCCAGGUGAAGCUGCUUGAGAGAAUGCCAAGAGUGUAUAAAGCUGUCAUCAAGGCAAAC